rfam:Dyadobacter psychrophilus strain DSM 22270 genome assembly, contig: LX75DRAFT_scaffold00011.11
UCAGGGCAUUUCUGAAAACCUGUAAAAGAGUAGGAA